GUUGUCCGCCUCUGGCGCUGGGAAUAGGCGUGGGGUCUGUUGGAAAAGGCGCGCACGUAAAACACCGUUCAAUGAAUUUUAUCUCAAAGAAGCUGAAAAUUAAACCCCCUGUAAGGUAGACGUCCUCUUCCUCAAACUUAUUGUUUCUGUCUAAUAAAAGGAUGAUUGAUAGUGCACCAUCUAACUCAUGAACUAAUUUCUCCCUGAAAGACACGGAGAACUGGGGGUAACAUCCCCGUGUAAGAGAGGAUUCAGUGAAGGCUGAAAAAGAACUAGUGACCUGCCUAGGGUCACUCACCACACUGCGCCUGGACCCUCUACUCCAAAUCACAGGCGUUUUCAGGGCACGGCUGCCCCUGCAAGGUUAAGGAAAGUUCAAAACGAAAGUCAUGUCACCUAUAAUCCCAUCCCUCUAACACCACUGUUUUUUGUUUUUUGUGUGUUUUUUCAAGACAGCUCUGUCGCCCGGGAUGGAGUGCAGUGGGGCGAUCUUGGCUCACUGCAACCUCUGCCUCCUGGGUUCAAGCGAUCCUCCCGCCUCGGCCUCCUAAAGUGCUGGGAUUACAGGUGUGAGCCACCGAGCCGGCCUAACACCACUGUGAUAGAGCCCUUCUGCUGCGCCUAACAAGAAAAAGGUGUGAGGAAUCAGGUAGAGGAUGGUAGCUCGGAAGAAACAGAGCCUGACCUCACCUGGCCAGAUAUCCAAUCUUCAUUGCCCCAAACCACUGGACCCUUGAAGAAUGUCUGAUACGGAAGCCUUACCUGACUGUGCAAGGGCAUCAAUAAAGGCAAAAAAGUGCUUCUCUAAAUCUUCCAAAUCAGAGAAUGGCCGCUGGGACCAAACAGCAGCUGCAAUCAGAGGACAUCUCUCAGUGGCAUUCCCAAACACAUCCACGAAUUCUCCAAGGUCCAUGGAGUUGACCUUCUCAAUGUCCAUUCCUUGUAUUCCACUGGAGACAGCGGGACGUCCAGCUCCCCUCUCGGUGAGUGAGUGACGCUGUCUCGGCUCACUCGGUUAUAUCUGCUGAACACAAGAGCUUGCUGUUUACGCAACACCACCUUCGCGUGUUUUAAAUGCCUUUGGGAGAAGCAGAUCCAGAAUACUUGUGUAAUGAACAAGCACAGGCUUAAGGUUCUAAUCCAGGGAGCAGAGAUCUCUGCAUGGUCAAUGUUUCCAACCAAACCAUUCCCAUAAUCAAAGGCAGCAGGGGCCAUAUUUCACUCUAAGCAUUAGAGCCAGAUUUGUUUUUCAUGUUGUUAGGCUUUUUUUUUUUUUUUUUUUUUUUUGGUGUCUAGCUCUGUCACCCAGGCUGGAGCACAGUGGUGCAAUCUCAGCUCACUACAACCUCCACCCCCUGGGUUCCAGCGAUUUGCCUAUCUCAGCCUCCUGAGUAGCUGGGAUUACAGGCAUUUGCCACCACAUCCAGCUAAGUUUAUGUUUUUGGUUUUGUUUGUUUGUUUGUUUGUUUGUUUUAGUAGAAACAGGGUUUCACCAUGUUGGCCAGGCUGGUCUCGAACUCCUGACCUCAAGUAAUCCACCUGCCUCGGCCUCGCAAAGUGCUGGAAUUACAGGUAAUUAUUAUAUUGUUAUUAUUUGAGAUAGGUUCUGCCUAGGUUGUCCAAGCUGGAGUGCAGUGGCUAUUCAUAGGCACAA
rnacentral:lncRNA from 1 species